rnacentral:rRNA from 1 species
GUAGGUGGCAAGCGUUGUCCGGGAAUUAUUGGGGCGUAAAGCGCGCGCAGGCGGUUCUUUAAGUCUGAUGUGAAAGCCCACGGGCUCAACCGUGGAGGGUCAUUGGAAACUGGAGAACUUGAGUACAGAAGAGGAAAGCGGAAUUCCACGUGUAGCGGUGAAAUGCGUAGAGAUGUGGAGGAACACCAGUGGCGAAGGCGGCUUUCUGGUCUGUAACUGACGCUGAGGCGCGAAAGCGUGGGGAGCAAACAGGAUUAGAUACCCUGGUAGUCCACGCCGUAAACGAUGAGUGCUAAGUGUUAGGGGGUUUCCGCCCCUUAGCGCUGCAGCUAACGCAUUAAGCACUCCGCCUGGGGAGUACGGCCGCAAAGGCUG